UACGAAGGGGCCUAGCGUUGUUCGGAAUUACUGGGCGUAAAGCGCGCGCAGGCGGCUAUCCAAGUCAGUGGUGAAAGCCCGGAGCUCAACUCCGGAACUGCCAUUGAAACUGUUUAGCUUGAGGAUGAGAGAGGUGAGUGGAAUUCCCAGUGUAGAGGUGAAAUUCGUAGAUAUUGGGAAGAACACCGGUGGCGAAGGCGGCUCACUGGCUCAUUACUGACGCUCAGGCGCGAUAGCGUGGGGAUCAAACAGG
rnacentral:rRNA from 1 species